rnacentral:rRNA from 1 species
UACGUAGGGCGCAAGCGUUAUCCGGAAUUAUUGGGCGUAAAGAGCUCGUAGGCGGUUUGUCGCGUCUGCCGUGAAAGUCCGGGGCUCAACUCCGGAUCUGCGGUGGGGUACGGGCAGACUAGAGUGAUGUAGGGGAGACUGGAAUUCCUGGUGUAGCGGUGAAAUGCGCAGAUAUCAGGAGGAACACCGGUGGCGAAGGCGGGUCUCUGGGCAGUAACUGACGCUGAGGAGCGAAAGCGUGGGGGAGCGAACAGG